UACGAAGGGGACUAGCGUUGUUCGGAUUUACUGGGCGUAAAGCGCGCGUAGGCGGAUCGCUAAGUCAGGGGUGAAAUCCCAGGGCUCAACCCUGGAACUGCCUUUGAUACUGACGGUCUGGAGAUCGGGAGAGGUUGGUGGAAUUCCGAGUGUAGAGGUGAAAUUCGUAGAUAUUCGGAGGAACACCAGUGGCGAAGGCGACUACCUGGCCCAUUCUUGACGCUGAGGCGCGAAAGCUAGGGGAGCGAACGGG
rnacentral:rRNA from 1 species